CCUGAAAAAUACACUGGCCAUCUUCUCAAUCAUGAUUAGAUUUUAAUUUAUGAAGAAGAAAGCUAAUGGUUUUGUGUGCUGCUUUCUCAUGCCUUGCUGAAGAGCAGGAGUGGCUGGAUAACACGUGAAGAAGCACUUCUCUAGUUUACCACAGAUGGCAACUAUGUGCCCUGAACUUCUGUGAGGGUAUUUCUGAGGUCAUCAGCGGUCCCAUGGGGGAAAUGAGUCACCAAAAGCGACAGAUGUCCCUCCUUUGAUCCCUCACUGCACCUCGGAGCGAGGAGCAGCUGCACUGUAGGUCCUUUUUGUUAAUUACGCUGCCAUUUCCUUCUGGCAAUGAGCUGCAGAUCUCAGCGACUGCUGCCAGAAGCACCGCGUUAUCCCGAGCAGCUCCGAGUCAGCCACAACAGCCAAGAACUGCUGCCAGCUGAGAGGGAUCCUCACCUCCCACCGCUGUAUCAGCCUCCCAUCUAUCUAACGUCCCUCAUUACGAAGCUCAUCGCUCAUUUCAGAACACAGA